rnacentral:rRNA from 1 species
UGGGGAACCUGCCCCAUAGUCUGGGAUACCACUUGGAAACAGGUGCUAAUACCGGAUAAGAAAGCGGAUCGCAUGAUCAGCUUUUAAAAGGCGGCGUAAGCUGUCGCUAUGGGAUGGCCCCGCGGUGCAUUAGCUAGUUGGUAAGGUAAAGGCUUACCAAGGCGAUGAUGCAUAGCCGAGUUGAGAGACUGAUGGCCACAUUGGGACUGAGACACGGCCCAAACUCCUACGGGAGGCAGCAGCG